AAUCUCAAUCUGUCACCCAGGCUGGAAUGCCGUGGCGCAAUCUCAGCUCACUGCAACUUCUGUCUCCCAGGUUCAAGUGAUUCUCCUGCCUUAGCCUCCCGAGGAGCUGGGAUUACAGGCAACUACAAUUCACCCCCAACCUCGUCGUUCGAAGUUCACCUGACAAGCUCCUGGUGGGAGCCGGUAGCUCUGACAGAGAGCAACAGAAACAAGAUAAGGGGUGGGUUUAGCUGAUAACCUCAUCAGUCUUCACUUCAGCUCUUCCUUCACUGCCCCUUCAGCUGUGUGGCCCUUCCUCUUGGGCAUCUUGGCAGCAGGGAGGGCGCCUGAGGGUACUGGUGCCUGCAGGCUUUGAGCAUGGAGAGUGUUCUUGAAGCGGGGCUGCCUGGCCACUUGGAAGAAGGUGGAUUAAUUUGGGGAUAUCCAAGGAGCCCCAGAGGGCCAUUGUUAUUCAAGGUCUUCAGAAAAGUUUUGACACGGAGAAAGAACACGGACAGUAUUGGGACCAUGUGGUGAAGUAGGAUUGGAGGAACAGGGGUUUCAGUCGACUGAGAGGUUCCCGUGAGAGAAACAGGCUCAAAUAGAGAUAACAGAAAGACGUCGCGAGGAGCCAGGAAAGAAAAUUUUCCGGGGGCCAGGGAAUGAAUUCCAUUCAAAACAAGGAGCCAGGAAGAACUUCCAGCCUAGGAGGUGCCUUUCAAAAGAAACCUGGGACUCUAACCUAGUUUCUGAGAGUAUAUUCAGAAUUGCAGGAAUCAGGCUGGGGGCGGCGGCUCACGCCUAUAAUCCCAGAGCUGUGGGAUGCUGAGGCAGGUGGAUCACCUGAGGUCGGGAGUGUGAGACCAGCCCGAUCAACAUGAAGAACCUGGUCUCUACUAAACAACUACAAAGUUAGCCAGGCGUGGUGGCGCGUGCCUGUAAUCCCUGCUACUCGGGAGGCCGAGGCAGGAGAAUCGCUUGAACCCGGGAGGCAGAGGUUGCAGUGAGCCAAGAUCGCGCCAUCGCACUCCAGCCUGGACAAGAGCAAAACUCCGCCUC